GUUCGUGGUCAUCAAUGGUUGAGAUGGAUGGCUCUCCAUCUGGUGGGGACUUGGCCUCUGAGGGUCAGGGCUGAAAAAUGUCUGUAAGUGUAGAGCUUGUCUUCAAAAGUCUAUUUUGUGUGUGACAGAACAAGUAUGUAAAUCACAUGUUCGUGUGUGUCCUGUGCCGAUCAAAAGGCCUCUUCAGUUUACAGUGUGUUUAGGGGCAAAUUAUUCCCAAGGCUGUAUUGAAUGCUCAAAUCAGACACAACAAUACCUGUCAAGCCAUUUGACCAUUCACAAAAACACUGCACUUCUCUCUCUCUCCCUGGCAGGUAGAUAUUUGGUGUGCAGCUGCAUGACAUGAAUUCAAUGAAAGCAGGCACUUAAGCGACUAUGUGUGCACCCAGUAAAAAGGCGGAUACCAACAGGUCCUCUCUGACACAAAGCGCCGAGGGGCUGAGGGAGGCGGGCGAGACGAGGGGUGCAUCUUAACCUGAGACGUCCCUCACACAAUUGGAGGGAAGAUUAGCAGGAUUAAGACUGGCUCACAUAUGCUGCUCUUCACUAUUGGCAUUCAACACAACACAAGCCCAACUGCCACCCAGACGGGGAGAGAAAGAGAAAGACAGGGUUUUAGGUCCCCCACCCACUGGAGCUCAUUGGUUCUUGAUGGGCUGUCGGAAAAGCGUUGACAUUGUCCCGGUGUCUUGGCCCGGUUGGUGGGGAGGAGGGACCUACUAUAAAAUACCCCUCGUCACUCCCGGGCGUGCCAAACACAAACAGUGCACGAGUGAACUGGAAUAACGAGUAAAUUCUGCAAAGUCACACACCAGCACGCGCUUGCACCUGCUACCGGUAAGUUUGAAUAUAUAGAAAAUAUUGAUUAAUUUGUAAAAAUGUAUAAAAGCAAUGUGCAUUGGUAAAGGCAAGCAUUAUUAAAAAUAUUAGCCUAAAUAAUGUUCUCUUUGUAAUUAUUCAGUGGAGUAAUUUAUUUUACUGUUUUGGUAUAUUAGAUAAUCGCUAACUUCUGGUCAUAAUUCUAUUUUUAUAGUUUGCUGAACUGGCAAAUUGUGUAACAAACUUUACAGCUUUACUUGUAAACUUAUUGAGUUGGCGAGUUGCAAAGAAUCUCUAGGACAUAAUAGGACUUUAAAUCUGCUGUACUACAUUUAAUCAAACCGUAUUACUUAGUUUUUAAUUUUUCGUUUUUAUUUCGUAUUACAUUUAUUUUAAGUUUUAGUUUUUAACCAUUCACUUCUUUUAAAGGAAUAUUGACAUCUGCGAGAAUCUGAG
ensembl:lncRNA